AACUUGAUGUUAUCUCAUUACAAGGUACAAAAUGCUCACCACUAAUGAGAUUUUAAUUAACGAGAAGUAAAACAAAUGGUAAAAGUUUAUCAAUAAAAUUAUCUUAGGAAAAACAAUAACUAUGAAAUACUUUAUCAUUAUCCAUAUUACUAGUAAUGAGAAAAAACUGCAGCAGA